AAAUGUUUUUUAAAGCACCUCUGCCCAUAAAUGCAACACAAACAAGUUGCCCUGUGAGUCACAGGACGAGAGCACAUGCUAAGUCCGCGUAAUGAUCUUUAUGUAAUUUGCCCCUUAGUCAUUGUCUGGCCCAUUAGGUAAACAGGCAGUGUGCAUUUCUUUGAAAAUAAGGGUCUCUAUAAAAACUGCCAUUGUGAAUAGACUGAGCAAUAAAGCGCCCCACAAGGUGUGCUCCCUGCCUCCAUUUCCUCUAUAAAGUGGGACAAUGAUAGUAACAACCUCAAUUUGUUUGUAUGAGAAUGAAAUGGGACACUGCACAGGCACCCUUAGCAUGCGCUGUGGACAGAGCUCUCUUCCUUACUAGCUGGUAGUAUGCGCCAAGAGGGGAUGAGCCCAGCCUAUCUGUGGGAGAGUCAUCAGGGCUUUUUGAGCAUUGGUGCCCACCAAGAAGUGUGAUGGGCCUGGAUUAUGAAGGGCUUCAAAAAUUGGCAGAUGAACUUCAACUUCCUGCUAAACACCAUCGUGUAUGCAGUUAUUUUCCUCCCCUCAGCUCCCCACAGUAUUCCUCUGCUGUUCCAAAUGUCCAUGAUUCUUUCAAAUCAUGGAAACUAAGAUCCUGUCUGUCACUAGCUCUCAAAAAGUUUUGAAAAAUGUCACAUGCUACAAAUCAGGGCCUGGUUUGUUGUUUUGUC
rnacentral:lncRNA from 10 species